CCUUAAGGAUAAUGUACAUGCGGGGAAGGACAAAAACCGUAAUGUGCUGAAGAUAAUCUAAGCAUGGACAAAAAAGCAAAAAUGUAGCUACAGAAGAAAAUUCUUGAAUAUAAAUGAAGUGUGUGCAAAACACAGCUUUGCAGAGGAGGGCCUCGCAGCACACUUUCGCAUUCCUACACGUUACGGGAUUCUGCUGUGCUUGGCCUUGAGUGGAUUGCUACUUGGGGAGGUGGCAAGGUUGUUAGUGUCCCCCAAGGAAACCCCCAAACCAGUAUCUAUGGAGAUAGUUAAAAACUUUUUCAUAUAUUUCAAAUCUCAUGCUCCUUAGCUGGUGUUUACUUAUUGUUGAGUUUACUUUGGUGAUGUGGUUGUUUGCUCUUCAAAGUGAAUGGUGAGGAGAAUACGAAGCUAAGAGUGAAGAGAAUAAUGGAGCCGCUCAGGUUACCAGCAAGGAAGAGUUCUGUCCUGUGAUGUUCAGGCCUAAUUCACCCCAACUGCAGUAGAAAAAGUAGUAAAGAGGACAGAGGAAAGAAAUGUGGACAACACCUGAAAGCUUGGCUGAUGGUUUCCUUCUGAGAGAUUGCUCACCCAACUUUUUGAAGAGUUUCUGACCUUUG